rnacentral:rRNA from 1 species
CGAUGAAGGAGGAGCUUGCUCCUCCGGAUUAGUGGCGAACGGGUGAGUAACACGUGAGCAAUCUGCCCUUGACUCUGGGAUAAGCGCUGGAAACGGCGUCUAAUACCGGAUACGACCCGCGGAGGCAUCUCCUGCGGGUGGAAAGAACUUCGGUCAAGGAUGAGCUCGCGGCCUAUCAGCUUGUUGGUGAGGUAAUGGCUCACCAAGGCGACGACGGGUAGCCGGCCUGAGAGGGUGACCGGCCACACUGGGACUGAGACACGGCCCAGACUCCUACGGGAGGCAGCAGUGGGGAAUAUUGCACAAUGGGCGCAAGCCUGAUGCAGCAACGCCGCGUGAGGGACGACGGCCUUCGGGUUGUAAACCUCUUUUAGCAGGGAAGAAGCGAGAGUGACGGUACCUGCAGAAAAAGCACCGGCUAACUACGUGCCAGCAGCCGCGGUAAUACGUAGGGUGCAAGCGUUGUCCGGAAUUAUUGGGCGUAAAGAGCUCGUAGGCGGUCUGUCGCGUCUGCUGUGAAAACCCGAGGCUCAACCUCGGGCUUGCAGUGGGUACGGGCAGACUAGAGUGCGGUAGGGGAGAUUGGAAUUCCUGGUGUAGCGGUGGAAUGCGCAGAUAUCAGGAGGAACACCGAUGGCGAAGGCAGAUCUCUGGGCCGUAACUGACGCUGAGGAGCGAAAGCGUGGGGAGCAAACAGGCUUAGAUACCCUGGUAGUCCACGCCGUAAACGUUGGGAACUAGAUGUGGGGACCAUUCCACGGUCUCCGUGUCGUAGCUAACGCAUUAAGUUCCCCGCCUGGGGAGUAC